ACACGACUACAUUAGAUACCCCGGUAGUCCCAGCCCUAAACGAUGCGCGUUAGGUGUAUCGGUGACCACGAGUCACCGAGGUGCCGAAGGGAAACCGUGAAACGUGCCGCCUGGGAAGUACGGGUCGCAAGGCUGAAACUUAAAGGAAUUGGCGGGGAGCACCACAACGGGUGGAGCCUGCGGUUUAAUUGGACUCAACGCCGGGAAGCUCACCGGAUAAGACAGCGGAAUGAUUGCCGGGCUGAAGACCCUGCAUGACCAGCUG
rnacentral:rRNA from 1 species